UGUGCCAGAUCUCGGUCGACGCCUAACCGAGGAAUUCUCCUCCUCGGCCAAGUCUGCUGUGCCAUACCUCUCUUCACCGCCUGGAUCGGAGCCGCCAGCCACCACAUCGGGAUCGGAGACAGCGGCCGACCCCCUCCUCGCCGCGGGGUCGGACGCCACUCGUCAAAGUCAGUCAGUUGCUUGAAGAAAUGCGAGGCUGCCGGGUCUCGAUGGCUCAUGCCUUGUGCUGUGGACAUGGUGACAAACUGAGCACUGAGCACCAGGAUGUUUCUACUACUGCGGCUUGUCCUGUGCCAUCUAUCCGGCGUGUAAAACUAGUUUAUGCCAUGAGUCAUGUAUCAUCCGUCAGAGACAGGACAAGCUAUCCAAGCUCUAUGUGGAGGCCUGUCGUGCAGAGAAAGGUUCCUAAUUUCCGCCGUAGUGGUGAGCACGUGGUUGUUGCAGCGGCACACACACGUGUACUACCGAUAUGUUGGAUCGCUGACCACACCGCCGUGCAUCUGUCUGGGAGAACAAGAUGAACAAGGCCUGCUCGAUGUGCAUCGGUCCUUUGAAGAUGAUGGCACAAAAGUUAUUGCAGUUUCUUUUCUUUUUGGUUUCGUUUCACCAAAAGAUACUCUGUAGUUGUUAUUUCUGAAGUCGUGUUAGGUUCCUAGCAAGAUUUGCUCUGUCAGUUUGAUGUGAUAUAGAUCGAGGGAUUUGGAUCUGCAAGAAAUCUCACAUUUUCGUGAUGACCUGAUCAUGUGUGGUUAUGCUUCCUGGAAGUUUACAUUUUGAUGUAAUAUUGG